CCUACGGGCGGCAGCAGUGAGGAAUAUUGGUCAAUGGGCGGGAGCCUGAACCAGCCAAGUCGCGUGAGGGAAGACGGUCCUAUGGAUUGUAAACCUCUUUAGGCGGGGAGCAAUGCCGGGCACGCGUGCCCGGAGGGAGAGUACCCGCAGAAUAAGCAUCGGCUAACUCCGUGCCAGCAGCCGCGGUAAUACGGAGGAUGCGAGCGUUAUCCGGAUUUAUUGGGUUUAAAGGGUGCGUAGGCGGAUUUUUAAGUCAGCGGGAAAAUGGCCGGGCUCAACCCGGGCCGGCCGUUGAAACUGGGGAUCUUGAGUGGGCGAGAAGUAUGCGGAAUGCGUGGUGUAGCGGUGAAAUGCAUAGAUAUCACGCAGAACUCCGAUUGCGAAGGCAGCAUACCGGCGCCCGACUGACGCUGAGGCACGAAAGCGUGGGGAUCGAACAGGAUUAGAUACCCUGGUAGUC
rnacentral:rRNA from 1 species